rnacentral:rRNA from 1 species
UACAGAGGUCCCAAGCGUUGUUCGGAUUCAUUGGGCGUAAAGGGUGCGUAGGUGGCGGGGUAAGUUGGAUGUGAAAUCUCGGGGCUCAACCCCGAAACUGCAUUCAAUACUGCCCUGCUCGAGUACUGGAGAGGAGAUCGGAAUUUACGGUGUAGCAGUGAAAUGCGUAGAUAUCGUAAGGAAGACCAGUGGCUAAGACGGAUCUCUGGACAGUUACUGACACUGAGGCACGAAGGCCAGGGGAGCAAACGGG